GCCAGGCACAGUGGUGCACACCUGUAAUCCCAGCGGCUCUGGAGGCUGAGGCAGGAGGAUCUUGAGUUCAAAGCCAGCCUCAGCAACUUAGCAAGGCAUUGAGCAACUCAGUGAGACCCUGUCUCUA
rnacentral:sRNA from 1 species